GACGAACGCUGGCGGCGUGCUUAACACAUGCAAGUCGAACGGAAAGGCCCUGCUUUUGUGGGGUGCUCGAGUGGCGAACGGGUGAGUAACACGUGAGUAACCUGCCCUUGACUUUGGGAUAACUUCAGGAAACUGGGGCUAAUACCGGAUAGGAGCUCCUGCUGCAUGGUGGGGGUUGGAAAGUUUCGGCGGUUGGGGAUGGACUCGCGGCUUAUCAGCUUGAUGGUGGGGUAGUGGCUUACCAAGGCUUUGACGGGUAGCCGGCCUGAGAGGGUGACCGGCCACAUUGGGACUGAGAUACGGCCCAGACUCCUACGGGAGGCAGCAGGGGGGAAUAUUGCACAAUGGGCGGAAGCCUGAUGCAGCAACGCCGCGUGCGGGAUGACGGCCUUCGGGUUGUAAACCGCUUUCGCCUGUGACGAAGCGUGAGUGACGGUAAUGGGUAAAGAAGCACCGGCUAACUACGUGC
rnacentral:rRNA from 1 species